rnacentral:lncRNA from 1 species
UUUUCUAAUCGUCUACCAUUUUUGAAAUUGGGUAUCAAAAAUAAGAAUUUGUGUUUUCUAUAAACCCAUAUGGCAUUCAUAUAGGGUACACUUGAUUUCCAUCAGUAGCUAAAAGUUUUGUAUAGCUGACAUCAUCGUCAUCAUAUGCGAGACCUUUCACUGUAUUUCCAAAGGUGGCGAUUUUACCUUGAUAUUUCCAACAAAGAAGAACAACACUUCAUUCUUCACUCUUCAAUCUGUAUUUCGUCCAGUUAAAUUUAACCU